CAAGUCGAGGGGCAGCAUGGUCUUAGCUUGCUAAGGCCGAUGGCGACCCGCGCACGGGUGAGUAACACGUAUCCAACCUGCCGUCUACUCUUGGACAGCCUUCUGAAAGGAAGAUUAAUACAAGAUGGCAUCAUGAGUCCGCAUGUUCACAUGAUUAAAGGUAUUCCGGUAGACGAUGGGGAUGCGUUCCAUUAGAUAGUAGGCGGGGUAACGGCCCACCUAGUCUUCGAUGGAUAGGGGUUCUGAGAGGAAGGUCCCCCACAUUGGAACUGAGACACGGUCCAAACUCCUACGGGAGGCAGCAGUGAGGAAUAUUGGUCAAUGGGCGAGAGCCUGAACCAGCCAAGUAGCGUGAAGGAUGACUGCCCUAUGGGUUGUAAACUUCUUUUAUAGAGGAAUAAAGUCGGGUAUGCAUACCCGUUUGCAUGUACUUUAUGAAUAAGGAUCGGCUAACUCCGUGCCAGCAGCCGCGGUAAUACGGAGGAUCCGAGCGUUAUCCGGAUUUAUUGGGUUUAAAGGGAGCGUAGAUGGAUGUUUAAGUCAGUUGUGAAAGUUUGCGGCUCAACCGUAAAAUUGCAGUUGAUACUGGAUAUCUUGAGUGCAGUUGAGGCAGGCGGAAUUCGUGGUGUAGCGGUGAAAUGCUUAGAUAUCACGAAGAACUCCGAUUGCGAAGGCAGCCUGCUACGCUGCAACUGACAUUGAGGCUCGAAAGUGUGGGUAUCAAACAGGAUUAGAUACCCUGGUAAUCCACACGGUAAACGAUGAAUACUCGCUGUUUGCGAUAUACAGCAAGCGGCCAAGCGAAAGCGUUAAGUAUUCCACCUGGGGAGUACGCCGGCAACGGUGAAACUCAAAGGGAUUGACGGGGGCCC
rnacentral:rRNA from 1 species